rnacentral:rRNA from 1 species
GAUGAACGCUGGCGGCGUGCGUAACACAUGCAAGUUGAACGACGGUAUCAAGAAGUGGUAACACGGAUUGAUAUACGGAGUAGCGGACGGGUGAGUAAAGCAUGAGAAUCUGUCCUGCCGAGGGGGAUAACGUUCGGAAACGGACCCUAAUACCCCAUAGUCCGAGAGGUUAAAGGCAGAGAUGCGCGGCAGGAGGAGCUCGUGUCCUAUCAGCUGGUUGGUGAGGUAAGGGCUCACCAAGGCUUCGACGGGUAGCCGGCCUGAGAGGGUGACCGGCCACACUGGAACUGAGAGACGGUCCAGACUCCUACGGGAGGCAGCAGUGGGGAAUAUUGGGCAAUGGGAGGAAUCCUGACCCAGCGACGCCGCGUGAACGAAGACGGCCUUCGGGUUGUAAAGUUCUUUUAUGUGGGAAGAAGAGCGUGACGGUACCACAU